GGGGCUAUAGCUCAGUGGUAGAGCGGACGCUUUGCAAGCGCCAGGUCGUGGGUUCGACCCCUGCUAGCUCCA
rnacentral:tRNA from 1 species